CGAAAAUGUUAAUUAAAAUUUACAAAUUUUAUGAAAAUUGUUAAAAAUUGACUUUAAAGGGCAAUAACUCCUUAUGGGGUCAAUUGACCAUUUAGGUCAUGUUGACUUAUUUUUAAGUCUUACUUUGCUGUACAUUGUUGCUCUUUACAGUUUAUCUCUAUCUAUAAUAAUACUCAAGAUAAUAACAAAAAACGACGAAAUUUCCUUAAAAUGACUAAUUCAGGGGCAUCAACCAAACAGCGGUUUGUCCGAUCCAUCUGAAAAUUUCAUGGCAGAUAGAUCUUGACCUGAUAAACAAUUUUACUCCCUGUUAGAUUUGCUCUAAAUGCUUUGGUUUUUGAGUUAUAAGCCA
rnacentral:lncRNA from 1 species